rnacentral:rRNA from 1 species
GACGAACGCUGGCGGCGUGCUUAACACAUGCAAGUCGAACGGAAAGGCCCUGCUUUUGUGGGGUGCUCGAGUGGCGAACGGGUGAGUAACACGUGAGUAACCUGCCCUUGACUUUGGGAUAACUUCAGGAAACUGGGGCUAAUACCGGAUAGGAGCUCCUGCUGCAUGGUGGGGGUUGGAAAGUUUCGGCGGUUGGGGAUGGACUCGCGGCUUAUCAGCUUGUUGGUGGGGUAGUGGCUUACCAAGGCUUUGACGGGUAGCCGGCCUGAGAGGGUGACCGGCCACAUUGGGACUGAGAUACGGCCCAGACUCCUACGGGAGGCAGCAGUGGGGAAUAUUGCACAAUGGGCGGAAGCCUGAUGCAGCAACGCCGCGUGCGGGAUGAUGGCCUUCGGGUUGUAAACCGCUUUCGCCUGUGACGAAGCGUGAGUGACGGUAAUGGGUAAAGAAACACCGGCUAACUACGU